AUAACGGUCCUAAGGUAGCGAAAUUCCUUGUCGGGUAAGUUCCGACCCGCACGAAAGGUGUAACGAUUUGGGCACUGUCUCAACGAGGGACCCGGUGAAAUUGAAGUACCUGUGAAGAUGCAGGUUACCCGCGACUGGACAGAAAGACCCCAUGGAGCUUUACUGUAACCUGACAUUGGGUUCUGAUACAUCACGUACAGGAUAGGUGGGAGGCAUGGAAGCGAGGACGCUAGUCUUCGUGGAGCCGCCGUUGGGAUACCACCCUUGAUGUAUCGGAAUUCUAACCGUAGGAGUAACGAAACUCGGGACAGUGUCAGGCGGGCAGUUUGACUGGGGCGGUCGCCUCCCAAAGAGUAACGGAGGCGCCCAAAGGUUCCCUCAGCGCGGCCGGAAAUCGCGCGAAGAGUGUAAAGGCAGAAGGGAGCUUGACUGAGAGCCAAACACGGCAAUCAGGUACGAAAGUAGGGCUUAGUGAUCCGGUGGCAUCCAAGUGGAAGGGCCAUCGCUCAACGGAUAAAAGCUACCCUGGGGAUAACAGGCUAAUCUCUCCCAAGAGUCCAUAUCGACGGGGAGGUUUGGCACCUCGAUGUCGGCUCAUCACAUCCUGGGGCUGAAGUCGGUCCCAAGGGUUGGGCUGUUCGCCCAUUAAAGUGGUACGUGAGCUGGGUUCAGAACGUCGUGAGACAGUUCGGUCCCUAUCCAUCGCGGGCGCAAGAGAUUUGAAGGGGGCUGCUCCUAGUACGAGAGGACCGGAGUGGACGAACCAAUGGUGUACCAAUUAUCUCGCCAGAGGUAUAGUUGGGUAGCUACGUUCGGAAAGGAUAAACGCUGAAAGCAUCUAAGCGUGAAACCAGCCUUAAGAUGAGAUCUCUCAUAGAGUAAUCUAGUAAGACACCUUGGAGAAGACGAGGUUGAUAGGUCGGGAGUGUAAGUACAGUAAUGUAUUCAGCGGACCGAUACUAAUAUGUCGAGGGCUUGACUUG
rnacentral:rRNA from 1 species